UUCCCUAAAGUAAUCAGUUGUGCCUUUUGAAAUCAGAGCAAAGUAAUAAAACCGCAGGAAUAGUGUGUUCUUAUGAACACUGUGAUGUUAGCUGAUUAAAUGAGGGAGCCCCCAGGGUCUCCCACACUGCCCCAAUCCUGUGUCUCUUUUGGUCCCGGCCCACCCUCCAUACUUCCUGCUUCUCUUCUUUCUCCUCCUCCCGAGGACCCAGGGCCUGGGGCUGACCUACUGUGGGACUCCAACGGUGAUCUCCAGGAAGAAAUGCCGGCUUCCUCCUUCCACCUAGUAGUGACCCCUGGCUCGCUCACGCUCACGCAGCCAACACGGACAGCAGCCGGAACCUGGAAGCUCCUAGGGUGGGAGCCUGUCCCCUCCCAGGCCCCUUCCAGCCCGAACUCCGGGAAGAAGCUACAUUCAUAUGACCUGAAGGUCUGAAUAGGACACAAGGCCUGAGUGAGAGCGAAUUCUUCCUGCUUAACCGCCUUCAACCUGGAACAUCAGUUUUUUCCUGCUUCAGACUCAAACGGACACACGGGCUCUUCCUGGGUCUCAGGACCGGAACGACGCCAUUGGCUCUCCUGGGUCUUGGGCCUUCAGGUGGACACCAGAGCCACACCAAGGGCUCUCCCGAGUCUCCAGCCUGCUGAUUUACUCUGCGAAUCUUGGCACUUGCCAACUUCCGAAAUGAGCAGUCCUCGGGGAGCCCCACGGUGAGCUGUGAGGAGCCAGCCCAGCACGGCACACAUGAAGUAGGGGCCUUCCCUCACUCCCACUCCACAAACACCAGGGCCCCUCAGGGGACCAGCCUCCCAUCCCUGAGUCAUUUCUCCCCCACUGCCCUCUCAACAAGGAACAGAGAAGGAGCUUCUACUGCUUCUGUAGAUACAUCUGAGGCAUGCACAGACAGGUCAUGCGUGAUAUGGUUUGGACAUUGUCCCCUCCAAAUCUCAUGCUGAAAUGUGAUCCCUGAUGUUGGAGCAACUCGAAAUGGACGAACGCGAUGUGUUAGUUUCUCUUUCUGGACCCCACAGUGUGCCUGACUGGGGCUGUGCUCUGGGGAAAUGGCAACUGUGAGGUCCUCACAGACAGGGCCUGGGGUCUUAACCACAGCCGCAUCUCAGCACCUUGAUAUUAUUGAGUGGAUGCCCAAAAAACACUGCUGGGUGAAUGCACGAGUGAAUGAUGAAGAUGGAGGUGGCUGUUGGUGCCAGGGUAAGGCCCCAGGAGUCUGGGGAGGUGGGACCGGGCAGUUCAGGUCAACGGCUAACCCUGGGCAAGGCCGGGAGGCAGCCAGGACAGGAAAGGACAGCUGAGGGAUUUUAUGCGAGUAGCCUCACUCUUCCCAGGAGGGCAGUAAGCAGGACUCAGACCGAGGGGUGCCAGGUGGGAGCGGCACUCAGGUGGCCCGAGGAGCAGGUGCAGGCUUGGCAGGGCUGGUGGUACCAUGUGUGGGGCCGAUCUUGGCCCCAUUCACUGCCUCCACCUCCUGGACACAUGGGCCCAUGGCCCCCAAGGCCCUCUUCUGUCCCCAUGCCCACCUCUCCAGGCUCCACUUCCAGAUACCAAGCCGUUUUCUCACUCCCAUCUCUCCCGUUGUCCCUAUAUCUGAGCUGACCUCCUCCCCGAGCUCUGGUGAAAUUCUAGUGCCCAGAGGUGCAUCUCACAUUCCUGGGCCACAAAGCCUUUGCAGUCACCACUUUCCCGGGACAUUCCAUCUUAGAGCUGAGUGUAUACUUAUCUCACUGGAUCAGAAGCUUCAGGAAGGCCCGUCUUACAUGCUCCUGCCCCCCACUUCCUGCCCGCCACUCAGCCAGCGGCUGCCAUGUGGUUGGGCCUUGGCAGCCACCGCAGCUGGUAACACACACUUAGCACUUCUGUGUCCAGGUUCCGUGCUGAGCCUCUUCCGUUUCAUCUCCAUUUGUCUUCAUGAUGGCCCCUGAUGUGGUAACCAUGAUUAUCCAUUUUUCAGACAAAAGACUAUGGCUCAGAGAGAAGGAAUGGCAGGUCCGAGGCCAUGUGGUUCGUAACAGGCAAAUGGACCCGGCAGUCUCUCUACCCACGAGUGGGGCUCCUCCCUGUCUACAGAGCUCACCGAGGUUUUAGAGCCUGGAACCAGUGAGUCCAUUGAGCGCAAGGAUAGCGGUGGCGCCGGGGCUGGAACAAGGCAAGGGCCCCCCGAAUCACAGUCCUGGCUGUGGACCACACCUCGGGACCCCGCCCUGGCUGGGAACCUUGCUCCAGCCCACCCGGGACCCCUUCCCACCCCAACUCCUGCACUGGGCUGUGCAUGGGGGUCUGCUGAAGGAGUGAGGGCAGGACGGAUGGUGAGCAGGGUAGAAAGUGACUCUGGUGGGUUGGCUUCUGCUGGAAGCUUGAAACGUUCCUGGAGAACAGGAAAAUACCAGCAGAAGAGGUUACAGCCCUCAGAAGGGCUCGCUGGGGACUGUCCUGCAGCCCUCUCCUCGGGACAGGCAGAAAAUCCAGCCCCCCUUCAGGGUGAGUCCAGGGAGCCUGUGGGGUACCAGCUGUAGCUAGGGUGGUGCGUGGGUUUACCCAGGGCACGCUGCCAUGGAGGAAGGCCGUCUGGAGGACGAGACGUGGCCCGCAGUCAGCUUAAACUUCAUGUAUUCUGUAAAUAAUUAUUUAUAAUAAACAAGCCUUAUU